rnacentral:rRNA from 1 species
GAUGAACGCUGGCGGCGUGCCUAAUACAUGCAAGCCGAGCGAACGGACGAGAAGCUUGCUUCUCUGAUGUUAGCGGCGGACGGAUGAGUAACACGUGGAUAACCUACCUAUAAGACUGGGAUAACUUCGGGAAACCGGAGCUAAUACCGGAUAAUAUUUUGAACCGCAUGGUUCAAAAGUGAAAGACGGUCUUGCUGUCACUUAUAGAUGGAUCCGCGCUGCAUUAGCUAGUUGGUAAGGUAACGGCUUACCAAGGCAACGAUGCAUAGCCGACCUGAGAGGGUGAUCGGCCACACUGGAACUGAGACACGGUCCAGACUCCUACGGGAGGCAGCAGUAGGGAAUCUUCCGCAAUGGGCGAAAGCCUGACGGAGCAACGCCGCGUGAGUGAUGAAGGUCUUCGGAUCGUAAAACUCUGUUAUUAGGGAAGAACAUAUGUGUAAGUAACUGUGCACAUCUUGACGGUACCUAAUCAGAAAGCCACGGCUAACUACGUG